UCCCUGGUGGCUCAGACGAUCAAGCGUCUGCCUGCAAUGCAGGAGACCCGGGUUCGAUUCCUGGGUGGGGAA
rnacentral:tRNA from 1 species